UAGCAUUGUUCUCCAGCUCUUUUGCGGCGGAAGGAAGCUCCUGAGGUUCCGACGGAACCGCAAGGGCGGGAAGCAAAGAGGGAAGCGCGACGCCCAGGAGAGUGGAGGAGAGAUCGACGCCUUGGACAUGGAAACGAUUUAAACAUACUUGCAGCAAAUCCUUCAUGGUGGAGCAGGAAUAGGAAGCGUUUGACUUACUUUGGCCAGUGCAUAUAAGCAAACAUGAUGUUCAGCAAGUCCCAGCAGAUGCUUGAAGAGCCAUUAUCUGUUUCUACCAACUCUCUUGCUCUUUUCUGUUGCCAAAAGAGAAAGGACAAAAGAAACUGCCUAUUCAGCUACACCCUGAGCUUCUCUGGAAAAAGGCUGAGUCUUUCUUUUCUAUCCCCAGUGUUUGACUGAAGGCUUGUUCCACAGUUCUAUGGCCAGGGUUGCCCUUCCCACUGGUGUUUGGAGGAUUCUGAGUGGAAGGUGUGAGGAAAGUUCAAGAGGGGAAACAAGAAAAGACUAGUGACAUAAUUUAAGAAAAGGAUGACUGCAAUGCAUCCUGAAGCUGCCUAUCUCCAAAUAUUUUCUCCUAUAGGCAGGGCCAACAGGUAUAAAGGGGAGCAGUCAAUGGACUCUAAGGAUAAGUAGAGGUAUUCCCCAUAGCACUGAGUCUUAAUCAUAGGAAACACUGAAUAUUUGUUGAGUGAUUAAAUAAAUGAAUAAAUUGCUGAUUUCAAGAUCUCCCUGACAAGAUCACAAGUUCAUCAUGGGGACUUCCUCUCCCUAAAUUGGAACAGAAGUGUUGUCACAAGCUGGGAGCAGCCCCGAGCUGGCAACCCAGAUGUCCCCUAUCCCCGGCAGCGGCGUCCCGGAGCCCAGGCACCUCUCGGGGUUCUGCACAUCGCAGGAUACUCCCUCUCCAAAAUGCCUGGCGUCUCCCUGGAGAAAGCCAGCAGCACUGACCUCUCUACUCACCCGAUUGCUACAGGAGACGGUGUUGUUGAAGUAGGUACUUUUGGUCUGGAAGAAAGAAAAAUAUGACAAGGAAGGUAAAGACUUUUAAGUCCACAAGGAAAAUCAUCCCUCCACCCUUUGCUCCCAGGCUUUAAAGGUACUCUGAAAACAGUUUCCACUCAGGUACCUGUUUCCUAUGUCAUUGACAAGGCAGUGAAAUAGUCUUUAGAUAGUGUUGGCUAGUGCUUGAAACCACACCAAAAGGUUCAGGUCUCAGAGGGAGACUUCCUGCUCCUUUCCCUCAAGCCACGACUGCACAUAGCACUAUGCUGGUGAGUAAUAAUGCCAUUCUUUGGAUGUCCACAUCUGUACUGUGGCCAUUCAUGAAUGCAAACUCUAUCUAGAAAUUAGGUUAAUCAGGAAACUGAUUACUACUGUAUGUUAAAAAAUUCCAAGUACACCAUAUUCUGUAAUAAGUAGCAUCCUGAAACAUCUAAAACACUGGAGAGACCUGGAGCACAGCAUCAACCCUUAAAGUUUAGCUCAUGAGAAUUAUCGCUCUUUUACUCUUCUUUCUUAAGCUCUUUCCCCUGCUGUCUUUUUACAGCAUAGUCAGAGCAGCACUUUAGCAGAGGAUAGACAUCCUUGAUGCAUAAUGCUCUGCCUAUCAAUACCUGCUCCUCAUCAGCAUCUGCACACUUAGAAUGUGCCAAUUUCUAGAUAAUCAUUUUAGAUGCCACUUGUAAGAAUUCUUGACAAAAUGUGGGACCAUGAUUUUUUCUAAAUUAUUUUUCUUCCCUACAAAGUUAAAUUGUAGAGUGUGUGUAUGCCUACUGUUCUGAUGAAAAUACAUUCGUUUUAAAAAAGUUUCUUCACUUACCCCACUCAUAUAUGUAAUCAGGUCUUUAGAAAUAGUACUGAGAUAGUCUGCUUCAAUCUUCUCAAAGUCACAGUUAGUGAAGUCGUAAGUUAGCACCAGCCCUACAAGUUGAAAGAUGAAGAAUUUCCUGAAAGAAACUGACAGAACACAUAGUAAGGCAAAAGGGAAUGUACGUGGAAACCCAAUUCCACCCCAGUUUCAUACUAAAGUCUUCCCACCAAGGCUGAAUUGCCUCUAGAUCUGUAAGGCCUGCCUUAGGGGCCAGUGCUCAAGCACCAGAUUUUCCUCUCAUUUCCAGUCCCCAGGAAGCCCUUAUUCACCCAUGCUGUUGUCUUAAGUUGGAGUCUCCCUGAUGCUCCAGAGCAUUCUGGCUGCAGAUAUAUAACACCUAAACGCCUACGGGCUCUUUCCUCCUAGGCCAAUGAUUUUCUACCAUGUCAUUCUCUUCCUUUAUAGAAUUCUGAAUUGAUGAUGUGAAAGGAAAAAAAAAAAAAAAGGAGUAGCUAAAUCUAUGGAAUUUUAACAUUAGUAAAGUCAUCAGGAAUUUCCCUCACCUUCCUCCUUUUUACUUUGCCCUAAACUCUUCAUAUGUGUUAAUGUCCUUUAAGAAAUGGAUACCAGUGUCUUUCUCCCACAGGGUGUUUCAGUGACCAAUCCUUUCUAUUAUUUGGGAGAAACACCUUCUGAAACCAGCAGCCACUGUAAGGAUUUGGGGUCCUUGCAUACUGUCCCGUGCAUCCUGAACAUCUGAGAAUUUCGUGUGGCCGCCUUCAACUAAUGCUUUCCCUUCUCCUUGGCUAGUAAGAAACUGUGCUUACUUAUGGGAUGCUUUGGAGGGUGGGUGCAGUCUCAGUCUUCAACAGCACUUCCAUGUGAAAGCAUUAAAUGUGCAACCGUAACCAGAACCUUAGGGGCAGGAACGAUAAGAGGUUGAAAUAAAUGGGGAAAGAUCUGAUGUGCCUUGUUCUCAAAAAUCCUACUUUUCAAAUUCUCAUAUCAAUUUCAGAAAAAGCGCCUACUCUUGGUGACUAGGGUCACCUUAGGGGCUGAAGGGUCCUCUAGCACUUUCUAGUAGUGUCAAGAACUUUUAAAACCACAAAUUCCAGUGCCCAGCCACCUUCACAGUCCCACUCUUAAAGCCAGCGUUAAACCUGAGGAGACCGCUCUGCUGGGUGCGUAGCGGUGAGCACAAGGAGAGGAUGCUGUCCUGAGCUCAGCUUUCCCAGAGGCGGCGCACGCUUUCGUGAGCUCUGCCUCCCAGAGGCUUAGCCGCGCACAGCGUAGACUGGAAAACGUCUGUCACCUGGGGCCUGAGCGCGGGCACAGGUUUUAGAGACAGGAGAAGCAACGAGAUGGCGGGCUCAGAUUUGUGCUAGCAAACUAUUGUUGAUCCAGAAAGGAGUGCUUAAAAGCGCAGUCAGGGAGUGCGCCCUGGAGGAUGUCUGUCUAGCAGUCUUCCGAGUUCCAGCAGCACCAAUGGAGCGUUGAAGGGAGGGAAAGGCUGACACUGAUCACGUUGCUGAGACGAACCCCCUGCUCCGCCCUAGCCUGGCUCAUGCUGCCCUGGGCCCUCUCUACACCCAGGUCCCCUCUCUCUCUCCUUCCCUUCCGCUUCCCCGUUCAUUCCCCACCCCCACCCCGCCCCCCGCCCUCGCGUGUCAGAGCCUGCAUCGCUCUGGUACUAGGGAAGUUCCUAGGAGUCAUCGCUGGGAGCAAGGAGGUUGGACGCCGUGUGUAAGUCCCAGCAAAUGUCACAGGCCAUACGUGCCCGGGAAAAAGAGCAGGGAAAGUCGAGGGAUUCCGGAAAAGCGUAAGGGACAAACUGGAGCCAGAGUUGAACUCUUUUUCAUAGAAGGCACUGGAGAGGGUCAGAAAACCUCUGAUUCACCGCUGACUUCAAAAGUAGCCCUUUUCUGGAAUUCUUCAUGUGUUGUACUGAAGUCACCACAGCAUUCAUUGAAAAAGAAGUCCAUUCUUCCCCCAUCACCAACUCCUCGGGGUAUUGUGGGAUGAUGUCAAAAUCUGAUUCAUCUGUUGUGACAUCAGAGAUGAUUCUGGUCGGCAGCUGGACAUUGCAUAGGCAGACAGGAGCUAAACCCAGAUUUCUUCACUGGGCUGGAUAUCUCCAAGAGACAAAGGAAAGGGCAUGGUGGCUGCUUCUGUCACCCUCACCUCACAUGCCUUCCCCUCUAGUGGCUUGCUGUAGGGCCAGAGAGUGUGAGUACCCACUAUAACCUUCAGCUUCAUUUCUUGAUUGCUGAUGGGGGCAAGAACAGCAGAAAGCAGCCUGCACUGAGGUUUGACUUGCAUUCUUCUGGAGGUAUAUAACCAGGCUGCCUCCCUUCUUUUGUUUUCUCUUUUAAAAACCCCUUGUGUCUAUGAUCUAUGUAGAGUCUUUGUUGAGAUGAGGUAGGCAGAGUGUCUCCUCCUAAGGCAUCCUAGGUGUCUCUUUAUCUGUUAAAACAUUGCUAAACACUUGUUUCUGUUGCCUGCAAUUUCCUUAUCUGUAAUUGUGUGACCUCUUGGAUCAUCUGGAUUAUAUUACUUUUCUGCUCAAAAAGUUAUGGCAAAACAACCUACUUAAGGUUGUUUUGAGAUUUACAAUUAUCCUUCCUGCAUUGGCUCCAGGCUGUCUUUCCAGCCUUAUUUCCUUGAUUCUCCUAGGCUUCCAGCAAAUGGUAUCUGAAGGUAAUAUGCUCUAAAUAUGCUCUGGGCUUUCUUCUUCCCAAUCUGAGAUGUUAGAUUUUCGUGUCUUUCCACGUUCAUCUUAUUGGAUGUCUCCAAAAGUGGUCUCCUACCCGGAUGCGACCUCAUUAUCCUGUAAGCCAUAUCUAUUUUCGACUUCUUUCUAUGACUUCUAUAGAUUACUUAACAUUUCAAUAAUGCUUUUCAACCUUAUCUAUUAGAUUGUGAGUUCUUUAAAAGUAGGUAAUGUUUUAUAGCAGUUCAUUUGUUCACUAUUUACCUUUCCAGUAGCAUUUGAAGUGAUUUGCAAUAAAUACAUUGGUGCCAAAAGGUAAAAAAACAGUCAAAGCGAGACAAGAGAAUGGAACAAAGGAAUAAGGUGCUUAGAAUCAGGUGCAGGGAAGACUAUAGAAAAACAUUACUAAAAACUGGAGAAUUACAACAAUUGAUCUCAAAAGUGAAUUCUGAGCUUCCAAACAGCCACUACAAGGGGUAGACUACGACAAGCUCUACCACAUACAAAUUCAUCAUGAAAGGCAAUUUUUCUUAAGCUAAUGGUCAUCAUCAUAACCACAAUAGGGCUGUCUUCUGUACUACAUGUAAUAGACAUUCAAUGAAUUCUCAAUAUGCUUAAGCAUAUUAACCUUCUAUGAAGAUCAUUGUCAGGAAGCAAAUUCUUUUCCAUUAAAAGAACCUCUCUAUAAAGACUUCUUUUUCUAGUUCUUUGCUGCUGUCUUCCUGGAAUCUACUUCUGUCUCACCUGGGGCAACAAUUCAGACCACGGCCCUCUGUGAAAAUUCAGGGUGAGCUGAAAAUCUUCCUGUUUUCCUUCUCUUUUCAUUUGUGCAAAUGCUGAAGGAGUGAACAGUAUCUACGUACCUAGUUUGAGAAAUCCUAGGUUAGGUGAAGAAUGGCGUAUCUUCUAUAUGGAAAUAGAAGUGAGAUCAUUUGUAACACUCUGCGAUUACUCAGGAAGCUUAGGCAAUACUCUCACCCAUGUGAUGGAUCAGAAAAUGAUCCAUGACAUAGCUCUUUUUUCUCCUACCCUCACUCAGAAGAUAAAUCAUUCAUUAAUUUUCUUAAUACUUUUAUUUCUUGUUUUAGUAAUGCUUCCCACUCUUUCUUUUAUUCCCUUAGUCUUUCCCUCUUUCUUUUUAAAUUUAUGUCUUUCCUCCUUUUCCUUGAACUGUUCUGAAUAUUUAAAGUAGCCUAGAACUCAUGCAAAACUCAGUUUGGGUUUGAAAAAUAGCUGCCAAAAGAAGACUGCUAUUUUUUUUUUUUUACCUUAUUCAAUAAUAUAAUUAUGGGAUUUAAAAAAAUGGAAGGGAUAUCAGAGAGGUUAUUGAUGAGAUAGGGGAGAUCUCUCUCUUUGGAGUAAGAAAAGUCAAUGACACCAAUUUUAGCUUGAUAAUAAUUUAGAAAGGGUAAUAAUGGACUUUCCCUAGCAGAAGGGUGUUCUUUGGUCUUGAAAGUAAAGUGUGUUGCUCUGGAUCCUCCAGGACACAAGUCAUAAAAUCAUUCUACCUCUUGGUUUUCAUAUGCUCAUAUAAAAGAGAGUGUCACACUUUCAGAGGUGGACAUUGUUUCCUUUUUCAUAUUCUACCUUAAUUGUUUAUAGCCAAGGAUGGUAUUUAUGUAAGGAGAAGUGGCUAGUGUUCACCCCUGAAAGUCAUAUUUAUUUUGCCUAUUUCCUUUGCAUUUUAUAUUUAUGCUCAUGCAGAUUGGCUGUUGGUCUGAACCACUGAUUUGGUUCACCAGACUCCACAUUUCUUCUAAGAUCUCUUGGGAACAUUUGUGAACCAGAAAGUGGAGUGAAGGAGUUUCCUAUGAUAAAUGUGAAAAACAAGUUUUUUAUUUCAUUUUAUUCCCAGGCUGAUGAUACCUUCAUAAUCAGCCCAUGGCUGUGAAAUGUUUCCAGAUCUUUUUGAAAUGGAGAGUGAGGACACUAAAUAUAUUCAUGUAAACCUCGUGUUUACAUUCAUUGCUCUGUGAAGAAACAGUCUUACUCCCAGCCAGUUGGGGAUAAAAGUUCUUGCUUACUUUACUGUUUUCCUACAACAUGAUAGGACAUGAAUAGGGAGAAAGUUGUUCAAGAAGAAUGUAGUAGUCAAGCUUUCUUAGAAUGCUUCAAAAAGAGUUUUGGAAGAAGUCAGAGCCAAAGGAUAGUUUCAGUUUUGGAUACUUUGCAAGGAUAUUUACUAUGCUGGAUAUCUUCUAUUUUCCUGUUUAGGUAUACUCUCUGUCCUUCCCUAUAUGGCUUUGUACCUUGGAAGCAGACCCAUAAAGACUGCAUCCACAGGCUUCCCUGACCUCCAGCUUCUGAUUGGGUUCACCUAAUGUGAGAUAUUGGCAAGAGAUCAGAAAGUAGUAAGACAGUGAAGUUUGGAUUUUAAUUCACCCACUCUCUAGCUGUUGGUUCACUGUAGAUUGGAUGCUUUCCUUUAUAGAGGGCCAUAGCUCCUGUUUGUUAAUCUUUUCAUCUUGCUGCCUGCCAGGUUCUUGUAACUGUUUCCUCCCUUUGUCCUUGUAGGGGUAGGGGUGAUAACAGCUUCUUAUUUUUGCUAGCCUGGGAUAUACCACUUUGCAAAAGUUAUGGUUUGGCUGUGCUAGACCCAGUUUAUACCCAUUGUCCUGGAAUAAUUUAUUAAUAAAGCUUCCUUUCACCCUCAAAAGUGGCACCAUUCCUAAAACAGCAACUCAAAGUACUGCGAAAAAGAGUGGCACAGUUUCAACAAUAAAUUAUAUGAUUAGUCUUGAUUUUCCAGCUUAUGUCCUUUGUAAAGAGUCCCCUUAGUAAACUUUCCCACAAUUACCCAGUUUGAGCAUGCUCCUUGUUUCCUGUGGGACCCUGACUGAUGCAGUCAUUCACAGGAGUCAGCAGGAUGUCGUCACAUGCAGCCAUCAGGUAACAUUCCUUUCCUAAUCUUCUAUGUCCGCCUUGUGGCAUCAUACCAGUUCUAUAACUCUUGCACAGGAAACAGUGGCUCUUAAUGUUUCAUUAAAUUCUGUUAGAAAAAAAGUUUCUAGCUGUGAAAGAUGAGUUAUAAGAAAUUCUGCAAUUUUCCUCUGUUUCCUCUUUUCCUAGUAAUAUUGCCAACCAGGAUUUGCAAGAAAUCUAUGCACUUACUGGACUCUAUUGUGUAAUUUGUUUCAUAGUUUAGCCACAUUGUUUAUGUAUAAAAGGGUCUUUUAAAAAGUGACCAUUAUGUGAGUCAGGGGGUAGCCCUCAGCUUAUUUCUCAUCUGGUGUGUUUGAGGCCCUCCAAGUGUCUCCUCUAUUGAGUCCCACUAUUCUCAAUAAUAAUCUCUGCAUUAAGCAAUCACCCCUAACUAUAUUUCCUCUCUUAAACAGGGUAAGUCCCUGAUAAUCAUUUUGUGUGUCUCAUCGAGGUCUAAUUUCUUCCCAUACAGCCAUUCGGGGCUUCUGAGAAAAGGCUACCUGACAAUUCCAGACACAUGGGGGCGUGGAGGGAGGAAGAAACAGAAAAGGAGACUCUAGAAAGUUCAGAAGAGGAUAAAUGAAUAGCAAAGAAUUGGGAUCUAUGAGUUUGGCCUGAGGACUGUCUUAAUGUGGGUAUAUCACCUAGAAAAGAUUUUGAGAGAUUACAGCAGGGGGUUAACAAACUGCAGCCUGUAGGCUAAAUGCUAUUUAUGUUGUUUGUUUUUCUGAGACAGAUCUCACUCUGUUGCCCAGGCUGGAGUGCAGUGGCACAAUCUCAGCUCACUGCAGCCUCUGCCUCCCAGGUUCAAGCAUUUCUU